CACGUAGGGUGCGAGCGUUGUCCGGAAUUAUUGGGCGUAAAGAGCUCGUAGGCGGUGUGUCGCGUCGGCCGUGAAAACCUGCAGCUUAACUGUGGGCUUGCGGUCGAUACGGGCAUCACUGGAGUUCGGCAGGGGAGACUGGAAUUCCUGGUGUAGCGGUGAAAUGCGCAGAUAUCAGAAGGAACAUCAGUGGCGAAGGCGGCUUCCUGGACCAAUACUGACGAUCAGGUGCGAAAGCGUGGGGAGCAAACAGG
rnacentral:rRNA from 1 species